UGGGGAAUAUUGCACAAUGGGGGAAACCCUGAUGCAGCCAUGCCGCGUGUGUGAAGAAGGCCUUCGGGUUGUAAAGCACUUUCAGUAGGGAGGAAAGGGUGAGUCUUAAUACGGCUCAUCUGUGACGUUACCUACAGAAGAAGGACCGGCUAACUCCGUGCCAGCAGCCGCGGUAAU
rnacentral:rRNA from 1 species